rnacentral:rRNA from 1 species
GACAGAGGGUGCAAACGUUGUUCGGAAUUACUGGGCGUAAAGCGCGUGUAGGCGGCUAAGUAAGUCGGGCGUGAAAUCCCACGGCUCAACCGUGGAAGUGCACUCGAAACUGCAUAGCUAGAGUCCUGGAGAGGAAGGUGGAAUGCUUGGUGUAGAGGUGAAAUUCGUAGAUAUCAAGCGGAACACCGGUGGCGAAGGCGGCCUUCUGGACAGUGACUGACGCUGAGACGACGAAAGCGUGGGGAGCAAACAGGG